rnacentral:lncRNA from 1 species
AGUACCGGGAAAACAGGAGCGUGUGAUUGGGGUUUACAGUGUUUUCUCUCGCUCUCUCUGUUUCUAGGGAAUUCGGGCUGUGUUUAGCUGCUGGAAUAUCGUAGAAUUGGUUUUCAGAGAAGUUCCUCGACUCCUGAGGCGAAACAUAAAGGGAUGGGAGUGGUGUGGGAAGUGAUCGUGUGGGGAAAAAAAAGUUUCGAGCCCGUUUCGCAUUUGUGGAGACAGAGUUUUUGGUGUGACCACUCUUUUGUGGGAAACCCAAACCAAGGAGAACUCAGGAGAAUUGGCGCUCUUCGGUCCUGGAGGUUCCGCAGCUAACAUCCCGGCUUGACCAACUAUCGAGGCCGCAAAUUAAUAGGGCACCUCCUGGGAGGAAAACGCCCAUCCUGACUUCUCAACUGUGACAGUUUGCUCUGUCGCCCAGGAUGGAGUGCAGUGCAGUGGCGCGAUCCUGCAACCUCCGCCUCUCGAGUUCAAGCGAUUCUCCUGCCUCAGCCUCCCGAGUAGCUGGGAUUACAGACGCGCGCCACCCCACCCAGAUGAUCUUUUUAAAUGCAAAAUGCCAUCGACGCAGAAAAUCAAAGACAAAAUCUUGCUCUGUCUCCCAGGCUGGAGAGCAGUGGCACCAUCUUGGCUCACUGCAACCUCCACCUCUUGGUUCCAGCAAUCCUUCUACCCCAGCCUCCAGAGUAGGCGGGAUUACAGACAACUGCUCCGGCUUUUCCUUCCACUAUGAUUGGAAGCUUCCUGAGGCCUCCCCAGAAGUAGAAGCCACUACGCUUCCUGUACAGCCUGCAGAACCAUGAGCCAACUAAACCUCUUCUCUUUAUAAAUAUCCCAGUCUUAGGUAUUUCUUUAUAGCAAUGCAAGAACGAACUAAUACAGAAUGUGUUUUCAAGAAAUUUGUCUGUUUCAUCUGAAUUUUCAAUUGGAUUGACUAUGAUAUUUCUCUUUUUUUGUUUGUUCAUUUUUGAUGAGGGGAUCUUACUAUGUUGCUCAGGCUGGUUAAAAACUCCUAGACUCAACCAAUCCUCCCAUUUCAGCUUCCCAAUAGGUGGUAGGAUUUCUAGUUAUCUUGAUUUGUUGAGUCUUUUAUGAAAUAUUCUUUUUGUUUUUAGUAGUAUUAUCGAAACAAAUUUGACUUUGUCUGCUAUUAGAGAAGUCAUAUCAGCUGUCUCUGGUUAGUGUUUUUAUGAUAAACUUUUUUCCAUCCUUUUUCUUUCACCUCUGUGCCAUUUUUAUGGCAUAUCUCUUUAAACAGCAUAUGAUUGGGUUUUUGAUUUUGUAACCAGUCUGACAAUCUUGGUCUUGGUAUACUUACUCAAUAUAUUCGAAGUUAAAACUACCACAUUACAUUUAUUUUAUAUUUGUUCUAUUUGUCCUAUUUCAUUUUCUUCUUUCCCACUUUAACAAAUUAUUUUUAUCUUUCAAUGCCCCCCUCCAGUAGCUUGUUAUUAUAGUUUUUAAAAUUAAACUUUUACUCUUAAUUGCAUAUUGUCAUACAGUUGUAAGAAGCAUUACAGAGAGACACUGUGUCUUUACCCCAUUUUCUCCAAUGACAAUAUUUUGCAAAACUGUAGUACAGUAUCAUAACCAGGAAUUGACAUUGAUACAGUCAAGAUACAGAACAUUUCCAUCACCACAAGGAUCCCUCAAAUUGCCCUUUUAUUGCCUCACCCACUCCCUCCCGUCCCCACUGCCUUCUGAACACCUGGCAACCACUAAGCUGUUCUUUAUUUCUAUAAUUUUGUCAUUUCAAGACAAAAUAUACAAAAAGGCAUGGGCUUAUAUAGUAUGUAACCUUUGGAAUUUUUUUUCUUUUUUGAGACGGAGUCUCGCUCUGUCGCCAGGCUCGAGUGCAGUGGUGCGAUCUCAGGUCACUGCAGUCUCCACCUCCCGUGUUGAAGCAAUUAUCCUGCCUCAGCCUCCAGAGUAGCUGGGACUACAGAUGUGCACCACCACACCCAGCUAAUUUUUGUAUUUUUAGUAGAGAUGGGGUCUCACCAUGUUGGCCAGGAUGGUCUUGAUCUCCUGACCUCAUGAUUUGCCCGCCUCAGCCUCCCAAAGUGUUGGGUUACAGGCAUAAGCCACUGUGCCUGGCCUGGAAUUUUUUUUUCCCCCACUCAAUGUAACUCCCUGAAGAUUCAUCCAGGCUGUUGCAUGUAUCAGUAAUUUGUUCCUUUUUAUUGCUGAGUAGUAUGGUAUGGAUUUAGAACAGUUUGUUUAGCCAUUCACCCAGUGAAGGACAUCUGGGUUGUUUCUAGUUUGGGGAUAUUAUGAAUAAAGCUGCUAUAAACAUUAA